rnacentral:misc_RNA from 1 species
GAAUGAAAUGGAACAUAAUGGAAUUUAACAAAACAAAAUGGUCAAUAGAACAACAAACUAGAGAGUAUAGAUUUAUUUCAUUACGUCACAUUCCAAUAUUCCAUUUCGCUCCAUUAGAUUUCUACCAAGUACCAAACAUGCAUUUUGCUGGUUAUAAGAUAUGAUAGGGCCUACCUGUGCACAAGAAAAUUUAUUCUUCUUAAUUAAGUUUCAGGUCUGAUAUUUCAUAUUUGGGAAUGGAUAUUUGGUGAUUAGGUCAUAUUCACUAUUAAUAGGUUAAGUUAAUCCUAUUAGGAUUUGUGUAAUUUGGUGACACUAGGAGUGGAAUUGUAUAAAUAGGUUUGUAAAGCCUAGUAGCAUGUUAGGUAUUUCUUUGUUUUGCAUUAGCGUCUUAGAACCUCUUUACAGUUUCUAAUUUCUCUUUCCUCUGUUUAUUGCUAUAAAUCAAUUUUGCUUUCUCAUAUGUAAAUUCUGCUGUUGUUCAGAGAUUAUUAAACUUUUAUAGUCUGUUUUGUUUGUUUAAUUCUCCACAAUCA